rnacentral:rRNA from 1 species
CAAACGACUCUCGGCAACGGAUAUCUCGGCUCACGCAUCGAUGAAGAACGUAGCAAAAUGCGAUACUUGGUGUGAAUUGCAGAAUCCCGUGAACCAUCGAGUUUUUGAACGCAAGUUGCGCCCAAAGCCAUCCGGCUGAGGGCACGUCUGCCUGGGCGUCACGC